rnacentral:rRNA from 1 species
UACGUAGGGUCCAAGCGUUAAUCGGAAUUACUGGGCGUAAAGCGUGCGCAGGCGGUCCGCUAAGACCGAUGUGAAAUCCCCGGGCUUAACCUGGGAACUGCAUUGGUGACUGGCGGGCUGGAGUAUGGCAGAGGGGGGUAGAAUUCCACGUGUAGCAGUGAAAUGCGUAGAGAUGUGGAGGAAUACCGAUGGCGAAGGCAGCCCCCUGGGCCAAUACUGACGCUCAUGCACGAAAGCGUGGGGAGCAAACAGG